rnacentral:rRNA from 1 species
CCUACGGGGGGCAGCAGUGGGGAAUAUUGGGCAAUGGAGGCAACUCUGACCCAGCAACGCCGCGUGAAUGAUGAAGGUCUUCGGAUUGUAAAGUUCUGUGAUGGGGGAUGAACACAAUGACGGUACCCCAAUAGCAAGCCACGGCUAACUACGUGCCAGCAGCCGCGGUAAUACGUAGGUGGCAAGCGUUAUCCGGAAUGACUGGGUGUAAAGGGCGCGUGGGCGGUUUAGUAAGUUGGCGGUGUAAUUCCGGGGCUCAACCUCGGCGCUGCAGUCAAAACUAUUAGUCUAGAGUGCCGGAGGGGCAAGCGGAAUUCCGAGUGUAGCGGUGGAAUGCGUAGAUAUUAGGAGGAACACCAGUGGCGAAGGCGACUUGCUGGACGGCAACUGACGGUGAGGCGCGAAGGCGUGGGGAGCAAACAGGAUUAGAUACCCCAGUAGUC